GACGAACGCUGGCGGCGUGCUUAACACAUGCAAGUCGAACGGAAAGGCCUUGUUUCUGUGGGGUGCUCGAGUGGCGCACGUGUGAGUAACACGUGAGUAACCUGCCCUCGACUUUGGGAUAACUUCAGGACACUGUGGCUAAUACCGCAUAGGAGCUCAUGCUGCAUGGUGGGGGCUGGAAAGUUUAGGCGGUUGGGGUUGGACUCGGGGCUUGUCAGCUUGUUGGUGGUGUAGUGGCUUACCAAGGCUUUGACGGGUAGCCGGCCUGAGAGGGUGACCGGGCACAUUGGGGCUGGGGACCCGCCCCGACCCCUACGGGGGGCAGGAGUGGGGGAUAUUGCAGAAAGGGGGGAAGGCUGAUGGAGGAACGGCGGGGGGGGGAUAACAGGCUUCGGGUUGUAGACCGCUUUCGCCUGUAGCAAAAGGAGUGAGAGUGUAUGGGGUAUAAAAACCGCGGCACUCUGCG
rnacentral:rRNA from 1 species